UGACUAAUCAUGACUAAUGACUAAUGAGUAGUAGAUCUAAUACUUUAAUUAAUAGUCUGUCUAACUCUAAUAACUGGUGACUGGUCUAAUACUUAUACUACUAACUUAGUCUUAGUAACUAGUAGUACUGUUAGAUCUAGAUUAUUCUAGAUCUAGAUUUUUGAUCUGAAUCUGAUAGUUCAUAAGGCUUAUGAUAAGCUGAUGAACCUGCCACGACCCUCCUAAAAACUAGACAUAUUAGCGCAAAGAAUACAUCUAGAUUUCUAGAUUAAUCUAGCUAGAUUCUGGCCUGUUUCAACAAAUUUGAAAAAUGCAGAGAUACGUACUAAAACAGAAAGCAAUUUUACAUACAGUAACAUAUAUUCCUUCCAAUAAGAUUAUAAGUCUAGAUCUACUAAUUAAGAACAUUUUGCAAACUAGAACCUUGUUGAUCAUAGAUCUAGAUCCAUUACUCUACUCUGGGCUACUCUUUUUUAAUUUAGCCAUGUCUGUGUCUGUAUCACCAAACUAGAAUUUAAUAUAUUCUGGCUAGAUUUAUGCAUGCCAUAUGCUUAUCUGUAUGUGUAAACAAAAAAUAUAUUAUUUUAAAAUAUUUACACUGUCUUCUUUCUUUUAAAAUUUGAUUAUACUUGUGAUAAUGACAUAACAGUGCAUGCUAUAUCAAACAUGAUUAUAGACUUUCUAUAUGGAUUUUGCUCAGCAGAUAGACUUACAAUAUAUCAGGCUUUAAGCACUUAGCUGGAUAAAAGAAGUAACAGAAAUGGGCCUAUCUUUCUAAAAUGAGUUUAGAGAGAAAAGUAUUUUAUCAGCAACUAUAUACCAGCUAGACCAAACUUUUUUUGUCAUUAGACCAAAGAUGGCCCACAUUUAAUUAUUUAUAAGAAAUGCUCAAGAUGAAAGAUGUCUUAAGGACAAUUUACUUUUCAAACCUGAAACCUAAAAACCAAAAUAUAAAUACUCGGAAUCAGGUAUUAACUAUCCACCUCUUGUGAAAAUAUUGGCUACUGUCAAGGCUUACACUGAAUCUCUACCACUUUUAGAUGAGCCAGAAAUGUUUGGGCUCCAUGAGAAUGCAAACAUAGCCUUUCAGUUGAAUGAAACCAAUGCUAUACUUGGUCUUAUGGUGUUGUCUUAUGGGAACUGUUGACAGAAGAAGUACCCUACAAAGAUGUGGAUUCUUCUGCUAUCAUCUGGGGAGUGGGAAGCAAUAUCCUUCACCUUCCUGUUCCAGGCACUUGCCCAGAGGGCUUUAAAUUGCUGAUGAGGCAGUGCUGGUAUUUUAUGCCUCAUGGUAUUACAGCGGACCAUCAAGGAAAUAUUUGGUUAACAGAUGUAGCAAUGCAUCAGGUUUUUAAAAUACCACCAGGUCAGACUGUACCAAAAAUGACACUAGGACAGAAGUUCCAACAUGGUGAAGAUACAAAUCUUUUUUUGUAAACCUACUGAUGUAGCUGUUCUUAUGUCUGGAGAGUUUUUUGUAUCUGAUGGGUACUGUAAUAGCAGAGUUCUGAAAUUUUCCAAAGAUGGAACUUUUUUGAUGUCCUUUGGGAAAAGGAAUGUUCAGUUUGGUGCAGGUAACUUCCUAAAUAUAUAU